CGGUAACAUAAGUGCUUGCACUUGAUGACGACCGGCGCACGGGUGCGUAACGCGUAUAGAAUCUACCUUUUGCUGAGGAAUAGCCCAGAGAAAUUUGGAUUAAUGCCUCAUAGUAUGUUUUUAUCACAUGAUGAUUACAUUAAAGGUUACGGCAAAAGAUGACUAUGCGUCCUAUUAGCUAGAUGGUAAGGUAACGGCUUACCAUGGCAACGAUAGGUAGGGGCCCUGAGAGGGGGAUCCCCCACACUGGUACUGAGACACGGACCAGACUCCUACGGGAGGCAGCAGUGAGGAAUAUUGGACAAUGGAGGGAACUCUGAUCCAGCCAUGCCGCGUGCAGGAAGACUGCCCUAUGGGUUGUAAACUGCUUUUAUACAGGAAGAAACCGCGCUACGUGUAGCGCUCUGACGGUACUGUAAGAAUAAGGAUCGGCUAACUCCGUGCCAGCAGCCGCGGUAAUACGGAGGAUCCAAGCGUUAUCCGGAAUCAUUGGGUUUAAAGGGUCCGUAGGUGGAUGAUUAAGUCAGAGGUGAAAGUUUGCAGCUCAACUGUAAAAUUGCCUUUGAUACUGGNUAUCUUGAA
rnacentral:rRNA from 1 species